UACGAGGGGAGCAAGCGUUGUUCGGAUUUACUGGGCGUAAAGGGCGCGUAGGCGGUCGUGACAAGUCACUUGUGAAAUCUCCGGGCUUAGCUCGGAACGGUCAAGUGAUACUGUCGGACUAGAGUACAGAAGGGGCAACUGGAAUUCUCGGUGUAGCGGUGAAAUGCGUAGAUAUCGAGAGGAACACCUGCGGCGAAGGCGGGUUGCUGGGCUGAUACUGACGCUGAUGCGCGAAAGCCAGGGGAGCGAACGGG
rnacentral:rRNA from 1 species